AUUGAACGCUGGCGGCAGGCUUAACACAUGCAAGUCGAGCGAGCGGCGGACGGGUGAGUAAUGUCUGGGAAACUGUCUGAUGGAGGGGGAUAACUACUGGAAACGGUAGCUAAUACCGCAUACCAUCAGAUGUGCCCAGAUGGGAUUAGCUAUUAGGUGGGGUAAUGGCUCACCUAGGCGACGACCCGUAUCUGGUCUGAGAGGAUGACCAACCAGACGGGAACUGAGACACGGUCCAGACUCCUACGGGAUGCAGCAGUGGGGAAUAUUGCACAAUGGGCGCAAGCCUGAUGCAGCCAUGCCGCGUGUAUGAAGAAGGCCUUCGGGUUGUAAAGUACUUUCAGCGGGGAGGCGUUACCCGAAGAAGAAGCAGAGGCUAACUCCGUGCCAGCCGCCGCGGUAAUUC
rnacentral:rRNA from 1 species